AAUAAAGUGCCUGAAAAAUAGGAUUGUUUUGAUAGAGCAAAAAAUGUGAGCUCCACCUUUAUUA
rnacentral:tRNA from 1 species